CCUUGUUCUUACUCUGCAGCCAUGGUGGCAGCUGUCCUGUCCAACGAUCGUGAGUACAUCCUUAUCCUCGACCUCCAAACCCUCUCCAAUGCCUACUGCUACUGCCGUCAACAGGGUAUGACUCUGGCAACAUUCAGAGAUGAGACUGACCUGGGCCUUGCUGCCUCCCUCUGUCACAACUGCACUGUCUGGAUUGGGCUAUACAAUCUUUUUACGUGGUUUUGGAUUAACAGUGACCCAUAUAGGUUCCAGAAGUGGGGUCCAGGACCCAUAACAACAUACCCUUGUGUGGUUAUGAAAAACGGCUUGUGGUAUCGAGAGAAUUGUCAGCAGAGACAUCUUUUUGUGUGUUACAGAGGGCCUACAGGGGCACUUCCUUUUUCCCUCAGCUUCCACUUCAGCUGCCCUUCCACCCCUAUUCAGUUGGGCUCAAGGACUCCUUCCCCACAAGCCACCAGAGUUGAUUUUGUCUUCAACCCUAAUCAGGGUGUUAUUGGGGUUCUUCCUCCUUCACGCCAAGAUCCUUCCAUAACCCUCAGAGAUCAGCAAGCCACCCCUGUAUAUGCAAACAGGUUGACUGCUUCCUCUUUAGCUGCCGGAGAAGGUUGGUCUCUUAAUACCCCGUAACCUUUGCUCCCCACUUUGUUUUGACCCCUGAAAGAAAAGGGCUGAUGAACUGGAGAGAAUCAUGG
rnacentral:lncRNA from 1 species